UCUAGGGUACUCUCGUUGUUCAGCAAAGCUUUUGCCCUCGGCCACUGUCCUACUGGAAGGACAAAUGGCAAUCAAAAUUAGCCUGCUGGAGUUCAUUUGCCAAUGGGCAACUCUAAGACUGGAAGGAAAUAACUAUCUCCAGUAUCACACAAUUUUUUAACA